rnacentral:rRNA from 1 species
GCGGCGGACGGGUGAGUAAUGCAUAGGAAUCUGCCCGGUAGUGGGGGAUAACCUGGGGAAACCCAGGCUAAUACCGCAUACGUCCUACGGGAGAAAGGGGGCUUCGGCUCCCGCUAUUGGAUGAGCCUAUGUCGGAUUAGCUAGUUGGUGAGGUAAAGGCUCACCAAGGCAACGAUCCGUAGCUGGUCUGAGAGGAUGAUCAGCCACAUCGGGACUGAGACACGGCCCGAACUCCUACGGGAGGCAGCAGUGGGGAAUAUUGGACAAUGGGGGGAACCCUGAUCCAGCCAUGCCGCGUGUGUGAAGAAGGCCCUCGGGUUGUAAAGCACUUUCAGCGAGGAAGAACGCCUAGUGGUUAAUACCCAUUAGGAAAGACAUCACUCGCAGAAGAAGCACCGGCUAACUCCGUGCCAGCAGCCGCGGUAAUACGGAGGGUGCAAGCGUUAAUCGGAAUUACUGGGCGUAAAGCGCGCGUAGGUGGCUUGAUAAGCCGGUUGUGAAAGCCCCGGGCUCAACCUGGGAACGGCAUCCGGAACUGUCAGGCUAGAGUGCAGGAGAGGAAGGUAGAAUUCCCGGUGUAGCGGUGAAAUGCGUAGAGAUCGGGAGGAAUACCAGUGGCGAAGGCGGCCUUCUGGACUGACACUGACACUGAGGUGCGAAAGCGUGGGUAGCAAACAGGAUUAGAUACCCUGGUAGUCCACGCCGUAAACGAUGUCGACCAGCCGUUGGGUGCCUAGAGCACUUUGUGGCGAAGUUAACGCGAUAAGUCGACCGCCUGGGGAGUACGGCCGCAAGGUUAAAACUCAAAUGAAUUGACGGGGGCCCGCACAAGCGGUGGAGCAUGUGGUUUAAUUCGAUGCAACGCGAAGAACCUUACCUACCCUUGACAUCUACAGAAGCCGGAAGAGAUUCUGGUGUGCCUUCGGGAACUGUAAGACAGGUGCUGCAUGGCUGUCGUCAGCUCGUGUUGUGAAAUGUUGGGUUAAGUCCCGUAACGAGCGCAACCCUUGUCCUUAUUUGCCAGCACGUAAUGGUGGGAACUCUAAGGAGACUGCCGGUGACAAACCGGAGGAAGGUGGGGACGACGUCAAGUCAUCAUGGCCCUUACGGGUAGGGCUACACACGUGCUACAAUGGCCGGUACAAAGGGCUGCGAGCUUGCGAGAGUCAGCGAAUCCCUUAAAGCCGGUCUCAGUCCGGAUCGGAGUCUGCAACUCGACUCCGUGAAGUCGGA